rnacentral:rRNA from 1 species
AUACGGAGGGUGCAAGCGUUACUCGGAAUUACUGGGCGUAAAGGACGCGUAGGCGGUUUAGAAAGUCAGAUGUGAAAGCCUAUGGCUUAACCAUAGAACUGCAUUUGAAACUUCCAAACUAGAGUGGGGGAGGGGUCAGUGGAAUUAGUGGUGUAGGGGUAAAAUCCGUAGAGAUCACUAGGAAUACUCAUUGCGAAGGCGACUGACUGGAACUUAACUGACGCUGAGGCGUGAAAGCGUGGGGAGCAAACAGGAUUAGAAACCCGGGUAGUCC